GGCUCAGGAUGAACGCUGGCGGCGUGCCUAAUACAUGCAAGUCGAACGCACAGCGAAAGGUGCUUGCAUCUUUCAAGUGAGUGGCGAACGGGUGAGUAACACGUGGAUAACCUACCUCAAGGUUGGGGAUAACAUUUGGAAACAGAUGCUAAUACCGAAUAAAACUUCGUAUCGCAUGAUACAGGUUAAAAGGCGCUACGGCGUCACCUAGAGAUGGAUCCGCGGUGCAUUAGUUAGUUGGUGGGGUAAAGGCCUACCAAGACAAUGAUGCAUAGCCGAGUUGAGAGAUUGAUCGGCCACAUUGGGACUGAGACACGGCCCAAACUCCUACGGGAGGCUGCAGUAGGGAAUCUUCCACAAUGGGCGAAAGCCUGAUGGAGCAACGCCGCGUGUGUGAUGAAGGCUUUCGGGUCGUAAAGCACUGUUGUAUGGGAAGAACAGCUAGAGUAGGGAAUGACUUUAGUUUGACGGUACCAUACCAGAAAGGGACGGCUAAAUACGUG
rnacentral:rRNA from 1 species